AUGAAGUGUUGUCGUGAUUUUCAGAUAGGUUGCAAUGCGCAGAUUUUGUUGUGGGGCUGGUCUAUGCGUAGUUCUUGUGCAGCAAGAUACAGUUUUGCAAGGUUUUAUGCUGCUAUGGAACUAGUUUUGAAUUAUCUCUAUGAACUGUUGUGGAUGUCGGCUCUAAUUGAAAUACGGCUGUUUUGGUACACGUGCUAUGUUUUGAUGCUCGGUGCAGGCUGCUAG